UCUGGGACAAGCCCUGGAAACGGGGUCUAAUACCGGAUAACACUUUCCCUCUCAUGGGGGAAGGUUAAAAGCUCCGGCGGUGAAGGAUGAGCCCGCGGCCUAUCAGCUAGUUGGUGGGGUAAUGGCCUACCAAGGCGACGACGGGUAGCCGGCCUGAGAGGGCGACCGGCCACACUGGGACUGAGACACGGCCCAGACUCCUACGGGAGGCAGCAGUGGGGAAUAUUGCACAAUGGGCGAAAGCCUGAUGCAGCGACGCCGCGUGAGGGAUGACGGCCUUCGGGUUGUAAACCUCUUUCAGCAGGGAAGAAGCGAAAGUGACGGUACCUGCAGAAGAAGCGCCGGCUAACUACGUGCCAGCAGCCGCGGUAAUACGUAGGGCGCAAGCGUUGUCCGGAAUUAUUGGGCGUAAAGAGCUCGUAGGCGGCUUGUUGCGUCGGUUGUGAAAGCCCGGGGCUUAACCCCGGGUCUGCAGUCGAUACGGGCAGGCUAGAGUGUGGUAGGGGAGAUCGGAAUUCCUGGUGUAGCGGUGAAAUGCGCAGAUAUCAGGAGGAACACCGGUGGCGAAGGCGGAUCUCUGGGCCAUUACUGACGCUGAGGAGCGAAAGCGUGGGGAGCGAACAGGAUUAGAUACCCUGGUAGUCCACGCCGUA
rnacentral:rRNA from 1 species